rnacentral:rRNA from 1 species
UACAGAGGGUGCGAGCGUUAAUCGGAAUUACUGGGCGUAAAGCGCGCGUAGGCGGCUUUGCAAGUCGGGUGUGAAAUCCCCAGGCUUAACCUGGGAACUGCAUUCGAGACUGCAUUGCUAGAGUAUGGGAGAGGGAAGUGGAAUUUCCGGUGUAGCGGUGAAAUGCGUAGAUAUCGGGAGGAACACCGGUGGCGAAGGCGGCGACCUGGGUCGAGACUGACGCUGAGGCGCGAAAGCGUGGGGAGCAAACAGG